AUCCAGAGAUUCUAAUGUUAUAGGAAUUGUUUUCUAUCCAACAGCAUGAUGUGGAGCAACUGAAAAAAAGCAGCUCUCUAAGGCAACAUUGACCUUCAAGUGGUGAUACAGCCUCUGGAAAAUACCUGCGAGCACCAGAGAUAAUAGCAGGAACACUUUAUUUAUCUGUGAGAUAAGAAGAGCUGCUUGUUAAUUCAGUAUCCAGUUCUCUGCAGAGCCAGCAUCCAAGAAAGAUAAUAUGCACGGUCAGACUGAUAGCUGUGGGCAUAGCCUGAAUUUCAGAAAGUUCUUCCUCCUCCCAGAUUUUUCAUUAGCUUGUGAGCCUAAGACUUGAGGUUUCAUGUGAGUCUGGCUCAACACUGUGUUGUCCAAAUGGCCAGCUGGAGGUAAAACAGAGACUAUUUAAAGGCACAGCCACACAACCUUGUGCACAAACUUCUGUCUUCCACUUGGAGCUUUUGUUAUCCUUAAAAUAUAGAUAACAAG
rnacentral:lncRNA from 1 species